AUUUUAGGCGUCGGUGACAGCUUUGUGAAAAAAGUCAUUUAGAGGUCAACCCCAAGGCGAAAAAGAGGCUUCAUGCGUAUCAUUCAAGUUUCCAGAAGAAAGAUUCGUUACGCAGUUGGAGCUUCCAGGGAGAGAAGGCUGUAGAUGUUGAUGGAAGGAGAGCGACAUCUUUGCUGGAAUCUUAGGAGGGGGGUUAAUUCGCAAGGGGUCAAUUUUAAUUAAGUUUUGAAUCAGGUUUACUUCGUAAACAAACGAAUAAAGAUCGAAGUCGGUUGAAUAACACAAAUUUUGAGUUCAAAGCUACUGCUGCUUCCAUUGUUCACCAUUUUUUAGCAAGAAAGUUCAACGAGGAGAGGCUGCGUCCUUUGCUUUUUGGCUCAUGAGAACCAAAGAUCAUUUCAAAAACAAAGAGCAUCAGCUUUAUCUUGUGGUAU